UAAUCAUAUACAUACCAUAACCUAUAUAAACAUGUUCAUACAUGGCAUUCCUUUGGAGUUUUAAAUACAAAGCAUCACUACUAUAAAAUGUGUAUGUAUCAAAUAUUACCUUGAAAUAAAAUA